rnacentral:rRNA from 1 species
UAGUACUGGGACUCUAACCAUAGGCCAUGAAUCUGGUCUUGGGACACUGUCAGGUGGGCAGUUUGACUGGGGCGGUCGCCUCCCCAAAGGUAACGGAGGCGCUCAAAGGUUCUCUCAGUACGGUCGGCAAUCGUACGUAGAGUGUAAAGGCAAAAGAGAGCUUGAUUGCAAGACAUACAGGUCGAGCAAGGAUGAAAAUCGGACUUAGUGAU